AGAAAACCACCAGGUAUUACAAGGGCAUCUUUCACACGUUGUCUACAAUUUGUAGAGAAGAGAGUGGUAGAGGAUUGUAUAAAGGCCUUUGGUCCACCUUAUUGGGAGUUGGACCUGAUAUAUCAAUCAACGUUUAUGUAUAUGAAUCCCUGAGGUCUCAUUGGCAAAUGGAAAGUUGAAUGUCAAACUGUGCGACCAAUGAUUUGCUAUGGUUAAUUCCAGUUGGGUGUGUUAACCUACAGUAAUCAAUCAAGUCAACAAAUAUAACAAUGAUACUUUGUCUUCUGAUUUUUGGUGGUGAUUUUUUUUGUGACUGAAC